AAUGAACGCUGGCGGCAGGCCUAACACAUGCAAGUCGAACGGAUCCUUCGGGAUUAGUGGCGGACGGGUGAGUAACGCGUGGGAACGUACCCCUUUCUUCGGAAUAGCCUCGGGAAACUGGGAGUAAUACCGGAUAAGCCCUAUUGGGGAAAGAUUUAUCGGGAAGGGAUCGGCCCGCGUUGGAUUAGGUAGUUGGUGGGGUAAUGGCCUACCAAGCCGACGAUCCAUAGCUGGUUUGAGAGGAUGAUCAGCCACACUGGGACUGAGACACGGCCCAGACUCCUACGGGAGGCAGCAGUGGGGAAUAUUGCGCAAUGGGCGAAAGCCUGACGCAGCGACGCCGCGUGGGUGAUGAAGGCC
rnacentral:rRNA from 1 species